UUUGGUUAAGUUAGAAAGGGCGCACGGUGGAUGCCUUGACACUAGGAGUCGAUGAAGGACGGGACUAACGCCGAUAUGCUUCGGGGAGCUGUAAGUAAGCUUUGAUCCGAAGAUUUCCGAAUGGGGAAACCCACCAUACGUAAUGGUAUGGUAUCCUUAUCUGAAUACAUAGGGUAAGGAAGACAGACCCAGGGAACUGAAACAUCUAAGUACCUGGAGGAAGAGAAAGCAAAUGCGAUUUCCUGAGUAGCGGCGAGCGAAACGGAACAUAGCCCAAACCAAGAGGCUUGCCUCUUGGGGUUGUAGGACAUUCUAUACGGAGUUACAAAGGAACGAGGUAGACGAAGCGACCUGGAAAGGUCCGUCGUAGAGGGUAACAACCCCGUAGUCGAAACUUCGUUCUCUCUUGAAUGUAUCCUGAGUACGGCGGAACACGUGAAAUUCCGUCGGAAUCUGGGAGGACCAUCUCCCAAGGCUAAAUACUCCCUAGUGAUCGAUAGUGAACCAGUACCGUGAGGGAAAGGUGAAAAGCACCCCGGAAGGGGAGUGAAAGAGAUCCUGAAACCGUGUGCCUACAAAUAGUCAGAGCCCGUUAACGGGUGAUGGCGUGCCUUUUGUAGAAUGAACCGGCGAGUUACGAUCCCGUGCGAGGUUAAGCUGAAGAGGCGGAGCCGCAGCGAAAGCGAGUCUGAAUAGGGCGUUUAGUACGUGGUCGUAGACCCGAAACCAGGUGAUCUACCCAUGUCCAGGGUGAAGUUCAGGUAACACUGAAUGGAGGCCCGAACCCACGCACGUUGAAAAGUGCGGGGAUGAGGUGUGGGUAGCGGAGAAAUUCCAAUCGAACCUGGAGAUAGCUGGUUCUCCCCGAAAUAGCUUUAGGGCUAGCCUUAAGUGUAAGAGUCUUGGAGGUAGAGCACUGAUUGGACUAGGGGUCCUCAUCGGAUUACCGAAUUCAGUCAAACUCCGAAUGCCAAUGACUUAUCCUUAGGAGUCAGACUGCGAGUGAUAAGAUCCGUAGUCAAAAGGGAAACAGCCCAGACCGCCAGCUAAGGUCCCAAAGUGUGUAUUAAGUGGAAAAGGAUGUGGAGUUGCUUAGACAACUAGGAUGUUGGCUUAGAAGCAGCCACCAUUUAAAGAGUGCGUAAUAGCUCACUAGUCGAGUGACUCUGCGCCGAAAAUGUACCGGGGCUAAAUACACCACCGAAGCUGCGGAUUGAUACCAAUGGUAUCAGUGGUAGGGGAGCGUUCUAAGGACAGUGAAGUCAGACCGGAAGGACUGGUGGAGUGCUUAGAAGUGAGAAUGCCGGUAUGAGUAGCGAAAGACGGGUGAGAAUCCCGUCCACCGAAUGCCUAAGGUUUCCUGAGGAAGGCUCGUCCGCUCAGGGUUAGUCAGGACCUAAGCCGAGGCCGACAGGCGUAGGCGAUGGAUAACAGGUUGAUAUUCCUGUACCACCUCUUUAUCGUUUGAGCAAUGGAGGGACGCAGAAGGAUAGAAGAAGCGUGCGAUUGGUUGUGCACGUCCAAGCAGUUAGGCUGAUAAGUAGGCAAAUCCGCUUAUCGUGAAGGCUGAGCUGUGAUGGGGAAGCUCCUUAUGGAGUGAAGUCUUUGAUUCCCCGCUGCCAAGAAAAGCUUCUAGCGAGAUAAAAGGUGCCUGUACCGCAAACCGACACAGGUAGGCGAGGAGAGAAUCCUAAGGUGUGCGAGAGAACUCUGGUUAAGGAACUCGGCAAAAUGACCCCGUAACUUCGGGAGAAGGGGUGCUUUCUUAACGGAAAGCCGCAGUGAAUAGGCCCAAGCGACUGUUUAGCAAAAACACAGCUCUCUGCGAAGCCGUAAGGCGAAGUAUAGGGGGUGACACCUGCCCGGUGCUGGAAGGUUAAGGAGAGGGGUUAGCGUAAGCGAAGCUCUGAACUGAAGCCCCAGUAAACGGCGGCCGUAACUAUAACGGUCCUAAGGUAGCGAAAUUCCUUGUCGGGUAAGUUCCGACCCGCACGAAAGGUGUAACGAUUUGGGCACUGUCUCAACCAGAGACUCGGUGAAAUUAUAGUACCUGUGAAGAUGCAGGUUACCCGCGACAGGACGGAAAGACCCCGUGGAGCUUUACUGUAGCCUGAUAUUGAAUUUUGGUACAGUUUGUACAGGAUAGGCGGGAGCCUUUGAAACCGGAGCGCUAGCUUCGGUGGAGGCGCUGGUGGGAUACCGCCCUGACUGUAUUGAAAUUCUAACCUACGGGUCUUAUCGACCCGGGAGACAGUGUCAGGUGGGCAGUUUGACUGGGGCGGUCGCCUCCUAAAGUGUAACGGAGGCGCCCAAAGGUUCCCUCAGAAUGGUUGGAAAUCAUUCGUAGAGUGCAAAGGCAUAAGGGAGCUUGACUGCGAGACCUACAAGUCGAGCAGGGACGAAAGUCGGGCUUAGUGAUCCGGUGGUUCCGCAUGGAAGGGCCAUCGCUCAACGGAUAAAAGCUACCCCGGGGAUAACAGGCUUAUCUCCCCCAAGAGUCCACAUCGACGGGGAGGUUUGGCACCUCGAUGUCGGCUCAUCGCAUCCUGGGGCUGUAGUCGGUCCCAAGGGUUGGGCUGUUCGCCCAUUAAAGCGGUACGCGAGCUGGGUUCAGAACGUCGUGAGACAGUUCGGUCCCUAUCCGUCGUGGGCGUAGGAAAUUUGAGAGGAGCUGUCCUUAGUACGAGAGGACCGGGAUGGACGCACCGCUGGUGUACCAGUUGUUCUGCCAAGGGCAUAGCUGGGUAGCUAUGUGCGGAAGGGAUAAGUGCUGAAAGCAUCUAAGCAUGAAGCCCCCCUCAAGAUGAGAUUUCCCAUAGCGUAAGCUAGUAAGAUCCCUGAAAGAUGAUCAGGUUGAUAGGUUCGAGGUGGAAGCAUGGUGACAUGUGGAGCUGACGAAUACUAAUAGAUCGAGGACUUAACCAUAUAA
rnacentral:rRNA from 1 species